rnacentral:rRNA from 1 species
UACCUAGAGGGUUUCUGUCGAUCAAGGGCGAGAGUAGGAGUAUCCAACAGGAUUAGAGACCCUGGUAGUUCCUACCUUAAACGAUGCCGACAGGAGUUUGUCAUUUGUUAAUGGCAGAAUCUUUGGAGAAAUCAUAGUUCUUGGGCUCUGGGGGAACUACGACCGCAAGGCUGAAACUUGAAGGAAUUGACGGAAGGGCACACCAGGGGUGGAGCCUGUGGCUUAAUUUGAAUCAACACGGGGAAACUUACCAGGACCAGAUGUUUUUUAUGACUGACAGGCUUCGGGUCUUUCAGGAUAUUGUUUUUGGUGGUGCAUGGCCGUUGGUGGUGCGUGGGUUGACCUGUCUAGCGUUGAUUCAGCUAACGAGCGAGAUUAUCGCCAAUUAUUUACUUUGCCGAAGUCCUUCGGUUAAAGUUCUAAUUGGGACUCCCUGCGAUUUUAGCAGGUGGAAGAGGGUAGCAAUAACAGGUCCGUGAUGCCCUUUAGAUGCUCUGGGCUGCACGCGUGCUACAAUGUUAGGAUCAAUAGGACUGCGAGCCUGAGAGGGUGCGCUACUCUUAUAAUCCCUAACGUAGUUGGGAUUGACGUUUGUAAUCAGCGUCAUGAACCAGGAAUCCCUUGUAAAUGUGUGUCAACAACGCACGUUGAAUACGUCCCUGCCCUUUGUACACACCGCCCGUCGCUCCUACCGAUUGGAUGACUCGGUGAAAUCACCGGAUGCUUACGAGCAGAAAGUGAUUAAAUCACGUUAUCUAGAGGAAGGAGAAGUCGUAACAAGGUAACGGUAGGUGAACCUGCCGUUGGAUC